rnacentral:misc_RNA from 1 species
AACGCACAUUGCGCCCCUUGGUAUUCCAUGGGGCAUGCCUGUUCGAGCGUCAUCUACACCCUCAAGCUCUGCUUGGUGUUGGGCGUCUGUCCCGCCUCCGCGCGCGGACUCGCCCCAAAUUCAUUGGCAGCGGUCCUUGCCUCCUCUCGCGCAGCACAAAUGCGCUUCUCGAGGUGCGCGGCCCGCGUCCACGAAGCAACACAACCGUCUUUGACCUCGGAUCAGGUAGGGAUACCCGCUGAACUUAA